UCGCAUUUCGCCGAGACGUCCUCUCCAACCAACCGGCCGGCACAGCUGUUUCACCGCUCCCGUGAGCCCUGCGGAAACAUUACGGGACCGUGUGACGGAGCCUUUUCCACGUAAAGGGGCCGUGUGGGUGGCCUUCAGGAACGGGCCGAGGGGUUGCCGCGCGCCCUGCGAUGACGGCGUCCGGCUCCCGGUGUGGCUGAAGCGCGCGGCCUCAGGACGUGGCCGUUCACAGGAGACCAAGACAACAGCCCGGCGAUGGCAGGAACUUCCCGGAUGGCGAGGCGGCCUUCCUUGGCGCUCCAUGUGGAUCCUCCCCGCUGGGCAUCCGAGAGCUGAGUCGGAGGCUGCAAAUUGCAGAGGGGCUGAAAUCGGGGUGCCGGGUCGGGACUCGUGACCUGGGAUUAUGGAGUCAGCUUUGGGGACGGGGAGGUCCAGGCUGUGGCCCCUUAGGCCACGUGAAGGGAGAGCCUCACUUUUGUUCACAGUGCUGAGGUGUGCAGGACGGAGCAGCCCCAGGGCGUGUUGUAUCACUUGUCCAUUGUGCCUUGUGUGUCUUUUGUGCUUCUCGUGUUGUACGUGCCUCGCCUUAUCUCUUCUGGGGGCUU